CAAGCAGUUUGACCAUGACUUCGCAGCGCGUGCUCGAGUCGAGACAAGAUUUGAGGAAGAAGCUCAGCCGCUACUGGACUUGCGGAUUUGUUUUGACAUCGGCGGUUUUUGGAUAGCUUGGUUCUCCUGUCGACGUGUCGUGGAGAUGAAGACGCGGGAGAGUAAUCUGUCACCCACGACGCGGCCUCGCAUUCUGCGUACUGGACGAUUCAAGAAGCCGAGAAGGGGGACGCUUCGCAAGCUCGAACGAUCGAUCGAGUUCCUGAAAAACGGAAAGGGCGAUCUCCACCACCAACGCCACUGGAUUCGACUCCCGCGAAGAGGUCGUUCAGUGCCCCUCUUCACGGUCGACGAAUCGUUCAUCUCAGGUAUCUGGCUGUGGGAUUGUCUGCUUGCCAGAAUCCUGGAUGUGGCAAACCUCUGGCGCUCGUUGAUUGCGUUGAAGAGAAGAGGUACGGCCUGGGCAGCGUACUUGUCAUUCCGUGUCAGCAGUGUGGGAUGGAGAAUUAUAGAUACAGAUAGCCCUGUAACUGCUCAGCACCCUGGCCCCCGUGCUUCCACAAGCAACACCAAAGCUGCUUUGGCUACAGCCUCACAUUGAUUUAUAGUUCAUCGUUGGGAAUGAGUUCGCUGCUCAUGAUGCUAUUGCGGAUAUUGCGGCCCUAGUCGAAGCUCGCCCUGAUGCCAGUAUCCUGUAGCACUCUGUCACUUUUGCAUCAGCAUGUUCGGCGAUGGAGUUUGCAGAACAUCAGCAAAAGCGGCUGGCCACCCUUCAACCGUUGGUCCAAGCAACGUGCUGCUCUAAAUCAGUUGCAGUGCGGGCAGCUGCUAGUGGGUUGGUGAUGAAGCACUUUGUCUUGUCCUACAAACGAAAUGGUGAGCCAGCCAUUUCCAGACUGAUGAAGGAGCAAGUCAGAGGUAAGAAGCGGGUGACAGCCUCAAGGAAGAUUAUAUUAGCGGUGGCUGAACACCUAGCCAAGAACCAGCAGCAACCCAACUGUAAGCAACGCCCUGUGGCACAGCGCUUCACUUGUUUGUGCGCACCGUAAAAUGCCAUCAUUUUGCCAGUGUGGGAACACGUUCUAGCUCGCAUAGUUGAAGAACAAGAGGACUCAAUGUUUUCUGAUUCGUUCCAACAUGUCAGCUUUCAUUGUAGUUUGAUAUGGGGCUGUGCUAAGCGCUAUCACAGCUACAUGUGUAGUGUAUCCACUCCAAACCCCAUGCCCGGGAGAUUUCCGUCAAAUUUGUCUAAAUCGCAACUUGUACUCUUGACCCUUCCUUACUUUUUGGUCCCGUAUAUCCAUAAUCACUCUACUCUAGUUUCUGCCGAUCCCGCGUACCCGCGCGCGGUGUUUUCACGCACCGUAUUGCGUGGUACGAUAAUGUUGUACUUUCCUAUGCCGCGUACCCAUUUUUGGCUUUCUUCUCCCUUUUUAUGUAUUCUCCCUUCGACAAGAAGUGCUUCUCUUCCCUUGGUAGUUAGAAGACGGUUGUCGUUUUUUCUCUCUGAACUUCAGUUUAUCCAUGUAAUUCUGGUGCCCCUGG